CCUCCCGCUUCUCCUCCCUGAGCGGGGCCGAAUCGAUAUUCGCGAUAAGGCAUUCCUUCCCUGGAGUUACUCCCCUAUCUCCAGGGGUUUUUUUU
rnacentral:ncRNA from 1 species